rnacentral:lncRNA from 1 species
UUUUCUUAAAAUAAUUGACGUAGUAUUCAUGGUUCAGUUGGUUCUAUGUUUAUUUGAAUACACGUGGUUUUGGUGAAAUUAAUAAAGUAAUUGUGGUUUUCAUGUGAGAUUAUGAAAAUAGUUUCUAACCCUCGUGGUAGUGUGUUUUUAAAAGAAAAUGAUUUCCGUGUGGGAAACGGUAUUGAAAAGAUUUUUUUGAUUUUCAUGACUCUUAGUGUUUCAAAAUGAGUUUCCGGCUAGGAAACGUUUUAAACUAAUAGAUGUGAAUUUAUGAAUAUCUGUGAUGAAAUGAAUGGUGAAUGUGAAUGGUGAAUGUAUGUGAUUGUCAUACUGUUGUGGUUGUAUCUUGUACUUGUGCAACGCUGUGCAAAUACAUGGGAGACUCUGUCCGUGUGAACAGUGAAUUUUCUGUAUUUGUGGCGGAUCUGACAUACUCUGGGGUGAAGGUUUAAAAAAAAAAAAAAUUUGGGAACUUUCGCGUUGGCUUUUAAUUU